rnacentral:rRNA from 1 species
GACGAAGGUGGCGAGCGUUACUCGGAAUUACUAGGCGUAAAGCGCGAGCAGGCGGUUCGACAAGUCCGUUGUGAAAGCCCCGGGCUCAACCCGGGGGAGGUCAAUGGAUACUGUCGGACUUGAAUACGAGAGAGGUCACUGGAAUUCCUGGUGUAGCGGUGAAAUGCGUAGAUAUCAGGAGGAACACCGAAGGCGAAGGCAGGUGACUGGAUCGUUAUUGACGCUGAGUCGCGAAAGCCGGGGGGAGCAAACAGG